rnacentral:lncRNA from 1 species
GACGAUCGAGCUCCAGGUGCGCAGUGCGCACCUGUCGAUCCACCAAGACAAUGGCUCCAUGCACGUGGGCACCUCCGUCUGGCCCUGCUCCCUCGUCCUAGUCAAGUUCGCAGAGCGCUGGUCCCCUCUAACGUCGUCCUCCUCAUCCUCCACCCCCAAUCCCUACGCCCACCUCCUCGACUUCUCCAACAAGCGCGCAGUGGAGCUGGGCUGCGGAUGCGGCCUCGCCUCCAUGGGCCUCUUCCUCCUUGGUCUAAACGACGUCGUUCUCACUGAUAUCGCUCCGGUCAUGCCCGCCCUUAAGCACAACCUCAAGCGCA